ACUCCUACGGGAGGCAGCAGUGGGGAAUUUUGGACAAUGGGCGAAAGCCUGAUCCAGCAAUGCCGCGUGAGUGAAGAAGGCCUUCGGGUUGUAAAGCUCUUUUGUCAGGGAAGAAACGGUGAAAGCUAAUAUCCUUUGCUAAUGACGGUACCUGAAGAAUAAGCACCGGCUAACUACGUGCCAGCAGCCGCGGUAAUA
rnacentral:rRNA from 1 species